rnacentral:lncRNA from 1 species
UAAGAUCACAAAGGCUUACCACCAUGUCCAGUUUUUUGGUUUUGCUUUUAAUUUGCUUUCUAGUGAAUGGCUUCAGCUUGUCAGAGUUGCAAGUUCUCUGUCUCCUCCUCUAGACUGUGGUCACCACACACAUCUUCCAUUAUCUUAGUCACACCAGGUAUCGUUCCAUCAAGAGUAUCCAUGUCGCCAGGCAUAACGAGGCUGAAACAGGACUGCAAGCUCCAGACCAGCCAGGAACAUGUAGUGAGCCUGUGGAAAACAACCAUGUUCCAGGGUAGUCGCUGUGGGCUUAGUUUUUGAACCUGAAAUCUCAACAAUCCACUCCUAGAUUCCCUGCCUGUCUAGAUAAAACUGCCAUAAGAGGAAGGAUUGCAAGAAAUGUCUUAUUCCCCAAUGUUUUCACAGAGUAUCAUUCCUGAUACCUGGUUCUAGGAGAGUCUUUAGCUAAGUGUUCAGUGAGAGGACCCAGUUUUCUGUAGCUCUCUUUAUCUCGUUGAGAUAAGCUAGUGUUGCAUAUUUUAUGUAGUUUUGCUAAGCAGAAAUUGGCUAUCAAAAUAUUAAUUAUGAGUCAGCAUAUAAGUAAGGAAUUAGAUUAGCUUGUGUAUAUGUAUGUGUGUGUUUUAAUGAUUAAAUGUUUUUAUUUCCUGUGUAUGGUGUUUUGCCUGCGUGUAUGACUGUAUUAAAUCAUGUAUGACUGUAUUAGGUCAUGUAUGACUGUAUUAGGUCGUGAAUGACUGUAUUAGGUUGUGUAUGACUG